UAGGGGAUUCUGGGACGCCUCUCCUGACUCCAGAUGACCUAGGCCCAGGUUGGGGUGUGUGUAUUCACAUAUCGUGUGACCUGUGUUCUUUUGUGAACUCCCUGGGGAAGCAGCCCCACCAGGACCCUGGUCAACAGGCCCGGAAGUGGAGUCCAGUCCAGAGGAGGUGAGUGCUGGAGGCUGUGUUCUGGGAGGCUAGCCUGUUAUCGCUGCAAAUAUCUCCAGCUGGAGUCCUCCAACAUGCCAGCCCGGAAGCUCGUCUUCCUCACUAAAGGAAUGCUCUGUGCAGUGGGCAUGGCUCUCGUCUUCCUCCAAGAGGUGUUUGGACAAAGCGUUUUGUUUGGUUUCUGGUACUUCCCGAGCAUGUAAGGAAUGUGAACAUCCUAGAACUGCAUCCUCAGCUUCUUUUCCUCCAGGUACUCGUCUUGGUGCUUUACGGGGUGACGAGGCAGCUCUGUGGGUGUUCUUAUCACUCCACAUCAGAGGCAAGCAAGCAGAGGUACUGAGACGUGCAUCAAAGCAGGCUGGCUCUACACCUCUCCCUUAACCACAGUGCUGAGCCGCCUCACACCACAGCCAGGCGCAAGGCUGGGAAGACGGCAAGCCUGCAUUCGGUGCUGCUCCUCUUUCAGAGACCCAGAUGACGGCUUCCUCGGGAUUUUUGCCAGUUUGUGAAGACUCAGCACCAGUGCUUCCCUUUGUCCACCUAGGUACAAGGCUCCGCGUGUCCUGGGCCCCUCAGAACACUGAGGAAGCUAUCUGACUGGAAUGAGUGGAAGAAGAACACUUAGGUGCCUCGGCCUCUCAAGUCUACUUGCUCACCCUACAGCCCUUAGCAUUGUCUCUUCCCGCCCACAUUUCCCACUCCAUCACCUCCCUUCUCUGCGGCCCUGUGGCCUCAUCCUGUCACAAGAGAGGGAGCGAAGCCCUCUGCCUCCUGCCUCAGUGGGUGUGAAGGAGUUUAUACUAAGAAAGGGCACGCUUUCCAUCGAGGUACCUCCUGCUGAGCCAAGCUCCCCCAUAAAAAGUGCCUUUUCCCCCUGUUGGGGAAGUACAAGUGCAGGCCAAGGAGCACAGGGCUGUGUCCCUGCAGCCCCACUGUCCACGGCCCACUGCCUUGUUAGCAAGACAGCCACAGCUGCUUCACCUGAGCUCAGCCCUUCUGGUGUAGGAGGCUGGGCGGAGCCACGCCUCCCUCACACACAGCAGCCAGGGGCUGACUUUGACACCCUGGGAGCUGUGUUUUCCAGUGAAGCCUGAAAAAAUCUGCUCAAGUCUCCAAACUGCAUGCAUCCCCUUGAGGUUGAAGGAUGAUAUAUUGAUAAGAUUUUACAAAUAAAG